CUUCAGCGAACCGAGCCACAGCGGAUGAUCCGCGCGGUGAUCGCGCCCGUAGGUCGCGAGCAGCGCGUUCGCUUC
rfam:Nocardia brasiliensis ATCC 700358, complete genome.